GUUCUUCAUAGCCGAUGCAGAGCUUCUAUCACACAUCUGCUGCUGUGAAGCCAGGAGGAAGGAAGACCUCUUGAACUGCAGAAAGGGAAGAGGAUGAGGGUUUAGGUUCCCCGAUAACCCUGACCCGGGAGGCCAGAGCUGCACUCGAGAAGGUCCAGACCACCAUAGCGAACAGGCAGGCCCAUCGUUGUCAACCAGGGCUGCCAUUCCACUUCAGCAUCCUAGGCCAGAACCGCCAGCCCUGAGACAUUUCAAGCAACAUCAGGAGCUCCAGCCAGAGGAGCGGCCUCCAGUGUUAGUGAGGGAUCUGGACUCUAAAGAAAUCCAGGGUCGAUUCCCACUUUUGACUUGGGGAUGGGGAUAUGCCUGUGUAUCCAUGCCCUCAGGAGUCAAGUGAGUCCCCAGGAGGCAUGUUAAACCUUAUACUCCAGGGCAGUUAGUGAGUCAAGACGAUAAGGUGCCUGUGGAUGCAAGCAAUGAUCCCACCAACCAAGGUGUUGCAUCCAAUUGUAAGCGCCGCAAGGAGGAAAGGGACUCUACAUCUCCCAAAAAAUAUUUUCUCUUUCCAGCUGCCUCAGUCCAGUUAUGCCACUAGUUCAUAUGUUUACAAUAAAGUUGUUUUCCCUGUUCCCCUAUCCCCGAACACCCAAAGAAGAACCAGCUCCAGCAUCAUCUCCAGGCCCUCUCCAUCUGCAAGGUAGUCAUCGCAGCCACAGCAGCAGAAGAAGCUGGGAGAAGAGGCCACCACGCGAGAAACAAAUCAAAGCAACUGUCUUCUUUAUGUUUUAUAAAGCGGGGAGAUGUUGCAUCCCGGGUUGCGUUCAGAUUAGGGGUUCUGAUAUGUGUUAGUUAGCUGGUUCUGUGUACCCCCUUGUACACCCCUGCUCCCCCUGCGAUGGUUCAUUCCAGGCUGCCUGCCAUUGGAGCUUCUCCAUGUCACUCCAGUAACCACCCCCCAUCCCUUCCUGCAACUUCCCUGUCAGUUACCCCAUCCCCAUGUCUGCAUUCACCCCAGAGCCCCAAGUCCGCCCCGUCGCGUUCCUGUUGGUCGCCAUGGUCCACGUCACCGCGACGGUGCCUGUCCCCAUUGGCCAGGAGGGCUUCUGCCUUCCUUGUCCCUCCCGCUAUAAAAUCCUGCGCCUCCCCAGUCCCAGCGCCAUUUUCUGUCCACGCGGCGCUGAGAGCGAGCCGCGGCUUCUCCACUGCAGCUCCCCACGGCAAUUAAAGCUUUCCAGCAGACUGCACAGACAGGGUGGACAAUUCCUUCCCUCUUCGUUUCUCACCUCGCGCCGAUGGCAGAACACGGCCAGCCCCUGCCCAGUGCACAGAAGGCAGAAGCGCCCGGGAAUCGUGGCAAGCCCCGGUCCCGCCGAAAAGAAGUGCCCGAGCCGGGCUCUCCGGAGCUGCCCGGGACCAGGAAAAAUAACACAACACCGCAGUAAUGUAUAGAUUUCUAGGAAUGAUACAAAGGAAGGCAUAAGCUGGAAAUAAUUUGCAGACCAAAAGGUUAGUUGUGUGAUAUACUCCAACAUGAUUCUAACCAUUGAUUUAAAUGUGGUCUUGUUUUUUAUUUAUUUAGCAGGGAUCGUUGUUGCUAAAAAGUCCACAGGGCAUCUUCUGAUUUUUUUUGCUCUUGCCUUCUAAUUUUGUGUUAUUUCUCAAUGCUAAUCCAUCUGCACUGAUGCAUUCAACAUAUAUCUACAACAUAUGUACCUGCAUAUCAGAACGAGGGAGAAGUGUCUGAAAACUCUGGGCAGAUGAGGUGAAUGCAUUGCUUUAAUUUUCAUACUAUUCUUUUAUAACAUUUUAAUGAUUUAGUUUUAUUAGUGUCUUAUUAAUGUGCAUAGUACUCUGUAUACUAUACAUUUAAUAUAAUGCCUACAGGUUUUUCUGACUUUCCAGAUGCUGCUUGGAAAUCUAGAAAAUCUCUGUUACAAGACAGUAACUUAAGAUAAGAAUAAGAUUCCGGGGUAGUGAUGAGGAUACAGAAGAACGGUGACAUAGACUUGAAAUGGGUUUGAAAUGGGUUUGACUUUUUUUAUUGCUGAGUAAUUAAAGUGGUAAAUAGAAUGCUAAUGGUAGAGACAAAGAAGAGCUGAUUUGGAGGGACCAGGUACAGUGCAGCACUCUACCUAGCACAAAGUUAUUGUUCAUGAUGGGGGUUGGGAGAGGAGAUUAUUUUAGUUGUAGGUUACAUUCAGAUUUCAAUAUUAAAAAUAUAUGUAAAAACUGCCUUUUAAUAGUCUUCUGCUAGUUUUGCAGCAAUUCACUACACCUAGAGUCUCCUUUUCCCUGCAUCUUACAAGGACAUCUAAGAUACCACGUUUAAAACACUACCACUGAUUUAGAGGCUUUUAGACACCAAUUUGCAGGGAAUUCAAAGCUGCAGACAAUGAAAUCACGAGAGAAGCCACAUAAGCAAGUGUGGCUCCAGCUGUUCUUUGAAUUUCAGGUUCAAAAUGUUGUAACAUAGUCAU